ensembl:ncRNA lncRNA:CR44180 long non-coding RNA:CR44180
AUUCGAACCAUAUUCAACAUGCAGUUUAGCGACUGCCGCUCAAGUUCAAAUGGAAAUUAGCGCUUGGUGUUUGUUUUAUAGCCGAUUGCUUUCAAAUUCCAUCGAGGGUGAGGCAUAGCAAACGUGAUACUCAUUGCAAAACCCCCAAAAAAGCCCUGUGCUUCUUCAUGGAUUCAUGGAUUUUCACAAGCCGAUCGAUGAAUGAAUAAUCUGCCAGGCGACCCAAGCCUGCAGACCUGACCACACCAAACCAGUCAGCUUGACUGGUCCACGUGUCUGUCCAUCGGACUAACUGCGUCCAUGCCGGAACAUAAAGCCCAAAAAUGUAUG